rnacentral:rRNA from 1 species
UACGGAGGGGGCAAGCGUUGUUCGGAAUUACUGGGCGUAAAGGGCGCGCAGGCGGCUGCUCAAGUCAGGCGUGAAAGGCCUGGGCUCAACCCGGGAAUUGCGCUUGAGACUGGGCUGGCUUGAGUGCGGGAGAGGAUGGUGGAAUUCCCAGUGUAGCGGUGAAAUGCGUAGAUAUCGGAAGGAACAUCAGUGGCGAAAGCGGCUUCCUGGACCAGCACCGACGUUCAGGCACGAAAGCGUGGGGAGCAAACAGG